GCCACAUUUACCUACGGUGGCAUUUUUUAUCCUUGGUAGAUAUUUCACCUGCAUAUCUUCACUGGGUGUGUGGUUGCUCCUGAACUUCUGAUGGAAUUCCCAGCAUCUGUCCUGAUUACCGUUCCCCCCAAGAUUCUGGAUCUCAGCUACCUCACUAACUCCAGGCUCUUUACUGGAUUUCACCAUUCUGCCUGCCAUCACUCUUGGUGGGUGUUUCAUCUGCUCAUCUCAUGACUCAGCUACCCACAUCCCAUGCCAGCCUUCAUUCCUCUGGGAUCCAACUCACCUAGAAGUGCCUGAGAAAACAAAAUCUUGUCUUGUGGAGCCCUCCAUUAAGUUUGAGCUUAUGAGGUUGCUUCAGGUUAGCCUUGAACUGAUGACCUCGCCUUCGCGAGCUCCAUGA
rnacentral:lncRNA from 13 species